UCUCCUACGGGGGGCUGCAGUGGGGAAUAUUGGACAAUGGGCGCAAGCCUGAUCCAGCCAUGCCGCGUGUGUGAAGAAGGCCUUCGGGUUGUAAAGCACUUUUGCCCGGGAAGAAAUCUUCCAGGUUAAUACCCUGGGAGGCUGACGGUACCGGAAGAAUAAGCACCGGCUAACUUCGUGCCAGCAGCCGCGGUAAUACGAAGGGUGCAAGCGUUACUCGGAAUUACUGGGGGUAAAGCGUGCGUAGGUGGGUCGUUAAGUCUGCCGUGAAAGACCCGAGCUCAACCUGGGAAUUGCGGUGGAUACUGGCGGGCUAGAGUGCGGUAGAGGGUGGUGGAAUUCCCGGUGUAGCAGUGAAAUGCGUAGAGAUCGGGAGGAACAUCUGUGGCGAAGGCGGCCACCUGGACCAGCACUGACACUGAGGCACGAAAGCGUGGGGAGCAAACAGGAUUAGAUACCCGAGUAGUCCGA
rnacentral:rRNA from 1 species